AAACCAUGAUGUGGGCAUAAGCUCAAGAGUUCCUUAAAUCUUUUCCAAGUUUGAUACAAUGACUCAUUUUCAUUUUGAGCAAAAUUAGCGAUCUUUCUCUUUAAAGCC